rnacentral:piRNA from 1 species
UGUAAUAUGUACAGAUAGUCCCACUU